UACGAAGGGGGCUAGCGUUGUUCGGAAUCACUGGGCGUAAAGGGUGCGUAGGCGGGUUUUUAAGUCAGGGGUGAAAUCCUGGAGCUCAACUCCAGAACUGCCUUUGAUACUGAGGGCCUUGAGACCGGAAGAGGUCGGCGGAACUGCGAGUGUAGAGGUGAAAUUCGUAGAUAUUCGCAAGAACACCAGUGGCGAAGGCGGCCGACUGGUCCGGUUCUGACGCUGAGGCGCGAAAGCGUGGGGAGCAAACAGG
rnacentral:rRNA from 1 species